GUUUGGCAUCCUAUGCUUCUGUAGUGCUCAAGCUAUCAAUGCAAUCUUAAUUUUGCUUUCAGAUGUUAACUGAAAUAUUGAAUGCUAUUUUCCUUGGAGUUACUAUAAAAUUUACUGACUUGAGUUUAUUUUCUUAGAUAUGAUGAGAUGUGCCCUUUGAAGUAUCUGUGCUCCUAUAUUGCCAUAACGAUUUUUAAUUAGAACCUCAGUUGUAAUAUUUUAAUCCAUAUAAUGCCAAUUGUGCACCUUUCUUCAAGAUGAGAUAUUUUAUUUUCUUAUUGUGUUUGCUCUGGUCUGUAACUAAGACAUUAAAUGCUCAUCCAAUUAUUGUAUUUAAAAGGAGUCCUACAGAAUAUGUCUUCAUUGAUCUGACUGUAUAUUCUAAAGAGUAAUUUGAUAAAAACCAUAAAAAACUUAGAUAGUCAAGUUUACAAUCGUAAAAUAUUUUUUUUGUCUUGCGAUUCUUAAUAUAUGCUACUUUUUGUUGUAUUAGAUAAUAGCGAAAAAAAUCUGCACAAAUAUCACUUGCUAAUAUAAUUUUGAAUGCCUCUGAAAUUACACUGAGAUAUAUAUCUUCAGUCUUUUAC
rnacentral:sRNA from 1 species